ensembl:lncRNA
GGGCGGGCGCAGCGGCGGUGGCGGCAGCGGCGCCCCUCUGGGGGACUUGGCCGUGAGAAAGUGAAAGGAGCCCGCGGGCGGCGGCGACAGCUGCGUUGGGAGGGGCCUGUUUCCAGGCUGGGAGGCCUCGCGCGCUCUGGGGGUGCGGAGCAAGCUUUUCGUUAAACUGUGUUGAUCAGGGCCACGAAGACAUGUAGCAACCUCAACCUCAAGAAACUGGAAAUCUUGUUGAGGAGGCAAGAAUCACAAGUAAAAAGUUGAAUAAGAAGUGAAAAAAAUGGUUUGAGAAUAUAAAAUAGAAAACUGCAGAGUGAGGAAGUUAGUGCACUAGUAAAUGUCAAGUGAAAUGUGUUUAUUCUUUGUUAACUGAACUGGGACUGGCAAGCCUGUUUGCGACCCAACUUGCCAGAAGACUCUUCAACUGGGCAAAAUGUGCUUUCACUUUGUUCCAGGUCAGAUGGAUAAAGUAAGUUGAAAAAGUGUUGUGUGGGCAAAUCAGACAUAUUGAAUUUCUAAUGAAGUCAAAACAGGAGCACGCAAAAUUCCUGGAGCUGAAAUACUGUUGGAAUAUCCUGUUAGAAACAGUAGUGAGGUUCUCUGCUCUUUCCUCAAUGUUUUUGUGUGCCCUUAUGAUUGAUAACCGAGGUCAAGGCCAUCCUGAGGCAACUAGAGUUUUGUGUUCCGUGAAAUCUGUUGUUGGAUCUGGGUGGCUGGUGAAUUCUAGAUCUUUAGUCUGUCAGUAGAAAGAGCAGAGAACCUCACUACUGACCUGUUUCGACUUAGGGGAAUUUUACAAACGUUCUCGAUGAAGGAAGAUAGUGUAUAUACUAUAUAUAUAGCAUAUAUGAUUGUAUGUCUAUAAUUAUGUAUAUAAUGUGUAUAUAAUAAUGUAAGAGUGUAUAUUAUAAAAACAGGUGAAAAGAAGCAGGCGCUUUGCCAACAAGUGCAGGAAAAGCUUGGGAAAAUAAACACUUGCAUUCUCAAAGUUGUUUCUCACCUACUAAAAGUUUAAAAUAAGGAAAGUAACAGAUUUCUGGACAAAAAGAGUCAGUGAUAGUGACAGCAUAUUACAUAAUAAGUUCAUGAGAAAUUUGGAACAUUCAGGUUCUACACAAAACGUUUAGAAACUCAGUUCUAUGGCACGUAGGACAGUCACAGCUCAAACAAAAGUUUUUACAAAAAGCACCCACAGGUAGAAUAACAGCCCCAGUGAUGUCCUAGGAGAGACACUGAUGCAUCAAAAGUUAAGAGCCUUGUUUUUUAGAUACAACAGUCAUCACUGGGAUCCAUUUUGAGAGGUGAGUAGAGUAGCCGGGAAAUAUAAAUUAAAUAGAUAUUUAAGGAAGCAAGUUUGUAGUCCCUCAAUUAUGUAAAGGAUUUUUAAAAUUUAUGACAAUGCAUGGACUAUUCCCACAUUGUCAGAAUCAAUCAAAAUGUUUCUGGAGUAGUUAUUGUGUUUAAAAAGGCUAAUGGAAGACAACAAAAAAGUAUGAGAUAGCCUCUCUGCUUGGGGUUUAAAUUUAGUUGGGAAAGAAAUGACAUAAAUAUAUAAAAAUCUGAAGCAAAGGAGAAACUACAUAACAAUGUAAUAGGAUAUGAAUGUCAGAGCUAAAUUUAAUAUUAAAUUUUUAUAACCAUCUUGCCCCUGAUCCCUGGUUGCAGUUCCAUUUCCUCUGCCCUUUUUGUUUUUUUAACAUGAAAAAAUUUUUUACUCUGCCUUUUUUUUUAAGUGUCAUAACCUUACUGUACAAAUGAUACUUUUAAGUUAUCUUUGGAAAGUUGUCAGCAUGCAAAUUGUAAAUAAAUAAGACGGAUUUCAGAGGUAUAAUACAGAAGGCUUAUUUUUAUUGAGCAUCCAUUUGGAAUCAUGGAAGGUAAGUCAGACUCCUUAUAAGGGGUAGGAUCUUCAAAGUAGGGUCUGUUUACCUCUGCCCAACAGACUUAGCAAGAUACAGGGCUACUUGGCAGAGUUUGAGAACCAAUAAUCUUUCUUUUUUUCCUCUCCCACAGUGGGGAAAAGGUGCAAAAAGUACAGACUCUAAACUAUUAGAAAAAUAUACCAUUGUUUCCCUCUGGAGGAAUCCCAGUCCUGUACAGUUCCACUUAAUCCAUACUUUUCUGGGAAUCCUGAAAUUUAAAAUGAUACAAGUCAAUCCAACCAUUCAUGGUUGGAUUUCUUGCUAGAGAACAAGAUUUGCAUUUUAGUAACACAUGUUUUUUGGCCAAUAACAGUUUAACGCUAUAAAACUUAAUUUGAUGAGCAACUCCAUAAAAUAAAUGUCUGACUUUUAAAUGUGAACCACAGGCCAAAUCCCCGACAAAAAAAUCGUGUCGGCGUUUUUAUUACACUUUGUGCAAUAGGUCAUCUUGAAAAAGUUAUCUAUGAAAUUAAUUUUUGAGUUUUGACUUUUUAGAAACUUCAGGUAUAAUUGGAAUUUUUCUUAAAAAAUUAGGGAGGCAAGCAUUAAUAGGCAAAGACCAGAUAUUGCAAGGUGUACUGUUUUAAAUAUAACAACUAUAAAAUGUGGAGUUCCCUGGUGGAUCAGUAGGUUAAGGAAUUGUCACAGCUGUGGCAAGGGUUCAAUGCCUGGCCAGGGAACUUGGGCAUGCUUUGGGUGCCGCCCAAAAAAAACGUAACAAAAUGUGAGUAGAAACUAACUUGGUUUUGAGUGUAGAAAAAAAAAAAAUACAUGAAAAAUUCUACAUGUGUAGAAGCUUCUAUUCAGCUCAUUCAUUCACUUUCAGUGUCAUAGCUUAAAUUCUAUUAAUUUAUUUAAAUUUUCCCUCUCUCUUUCUCUGUCAUUCUCUUUUGGCUUUUAGAAAUGACACAUUAAAAUGGCCUGAAAGGAGGAGGAGACAGAGAAACACAGCUGAAACAAUAGUAAAAAGUAAAUGAACAAACUGAGACACACACCACCAUGAUGAAAUGAACAGGGAGCAUAUUUCCUAAAGCAUAGUUUAAAAAAAAAAAUUAUAUAAUCCCACAUAGCACAUUACAUGCCAAAUCAUUUCCUGGGUUAUAAAUUCUGUAAUACUUGGAUCUGUUAAAUUUCUGAACUAUGAUAAGCUGUAAAUAGAGGAUAAUUCAUCCUGAUUCUCAGGCCUGAAGACAGAAAUAAUGUUAUCAUAAGCACUUGAGGAAAGAUCUGUAGCAGAUUUACGCAGGGCAGUGGGGAGAGACCCCCUUUACUGAAAGCAGAUAGAGUCUACACCAGUAAUUUAAACCUGUUUGAGGUCUAUGAAAGGGCAGAGACAAGCAAAAGAUACAGUCUUCCCAGAACUGUCUUUCCUGUAGAGCCAGUUUUCAGUUGCUUACUGUAAAUCAGUACUUUUACGUGUCUGCCAUAAAUCCAGAGACAGCAUAAUGGCUGAAGGCGGCUGAUAGUUCAGGCUUGGUUGAGAGACCAACACUGGCCACUUUGGAGAAUUGAGAAAGAAAACAAAGAGCCACCCAAAUCACACCUCUUUCUCGCUCUCUUCCUCCCCCCCAGCCUACCAAUAAUUUGCAUUAUGCCUUAUAGCAUAUGGAAGGGGAAAAUGCAUACAGCAAUGCUCUUUACAGUUAACUUUGUGCUGUAAUACAUUCAUUAUUCUACUGGUAUAUGAGCCUGGGCGACUUUCGAAUUCCAGGUUGGCUCUCUUCCUUGCUCCACAGAAUGCCUUCCUGCUGGCCAUUGAUGUGAGGUCAAUUGGUUAAAAAGUAUUUAGAUACCAUCCUAAACAAAAUAAAUGUGUAUAGACAAGUCACCCCCUUUAAAAAUCACACAGUUCCAAAAAAACCAACACACAAUAAAAAAACCCAAUUAUUCUAUGGUUAAGAUUCCAGUAUGGUCACUGCAGCAACUUGGGUUACUGCUAUGGCACAAGUUUGAUCCCUAGCCCAGGAGCUUCCAUAUGCCACAGGAGUGGCCACACACACACACACACAUCACGCAAUUCCUCCAAAAUCCAAAUGUUGGCAUUGUUCUAUUGUUUUGGAAGUUAUGUUAGCUAAAAGAUGUGUUCAUUUUAUUUGCGGGUUUUUUAGAGUUAAUUUUUGAAAAUAAUCUGAGGAGAGCUACAACUUUUCCAGAUGAAUGGAUUCUGGAAUAAUAGGUUCAAAGAUUUACAUGAACCUAUGACAUUCAUGCCCCAUUUUUCAAUAACAGAAAUCUUUGAGCAUUAGUUAUUCUAAAAUUUCUGUAAAUUGUAUUCAGAGUGAGGAAGUUUGUUUUUGUUCAAAAUGAAAGAAUAAAACUAAGUAUUUCAAUGUUAA